CUCACGCAUGGGUCACGUAGUUUCGUUGGUUUCGUUUGUCGCGCAUGUGGCAGUUUACGCAAGUUUAUGUCGUUAAUUACAAUUUUGUAUGACACGCCCUAUGAUUAGCAGUGUCUGCUUUCUCAACGGAGGAAGCGGCUCCUGCCAAGCACAUUUUUUUGCAAGCUGUCCUCUGCAUCAGCGAUGAAGUAGUGCAUGGCCGGAGUUUCUGUGUCGUGGAACUUCGUUCGUCAUCGAACAUGGUGCAUGUAAAUAUCUUCACCGAGAAAAACAAUUUGUAUUGUUUUAUCAUGAUAGAAGUGUGUUAAUGAAUGUUGCCAUCAUUGAAAAUACAAUUUUUUAUUCCUGCAUGGACUGGUAGCACUAAGUCGUAUUCAAUGACUAUAGCAGGAGUGGGUAUACAAGGUGUAGUUUGUACAAAGUUCUAAAAUGCUGAGCUUUCAUAUAAAAAAGACAGUUGAAGAGAGCAUUUAUUAGAAUUACAAAUUUCAUUCAGUAACAAUUAAGUUCCACCAGAUAUCAUUCCACUGUUGACUGGUUCUAGAAAAUAAACUAUAAGUAUUAGUACAAAUAUAAACAAUGAAAGAAAAGUUUCGCUUAUUGCUGUUUUUUGUAACUGUAGGUUGUGUAUGAGGUAGAUUUAUGUUAUAGGAAAAAUAAAGGCACAUUAGUAUUUUUGACAAAUGCUGGACAUGCAGUAGAUUUAGUUGCAAAUUGUCUGGUGGCUCAUUGCUGCCUUGACUCAGCCGCUCACUGUGCAGUUUUUCAGUCAGUCACAAGAUUUGUACGUAUAAUAUGUGUAGAAAUAGGUUGUCAUCGAAAUUACAAAGCAAUACAAGUGGAAGUGGGUAUAAUGUCAGUGUGGUGAUGAGUAUAAAACACACACAGGUUCGAACGUCGGUCACCUAGCUUGUAUUGCUCUAUGGUCACUGACACGAAUGGUUAUGUGACUGGUGCUAGUUUUAUGUCGCAUUGAGUAGUUAAAAACCUGGUUAUGACCGGAAAGCUCCUUUGCUUGUGUACUUGAUGGUUAAUGGUUUCAAGACAGUUUUAAAGCCCUGUCACAGUAUCAGUGUCAUUUAGAUACUGGACCCGGCGUGGUUCAUUUAAAAAUACAGCUGGCCACGUGAAUGCGCGAAACAGUGGCACAUGCAUUGGGUGCAUGUGAGCACCGCAUUGAAAACUUUAGGAGAUAGUACGUGUAAGGAGCAUUGCA